CCCUUAGAUGUUCUGGGCCGCACGCGUGCUACACUGAGUAAUUCAAUGGGUAAGGGAACGCUAGAGCAUUACCUAAUCUUGAAAUUUGCUCGUGAUGGGGAUCGACGGUUGCAAUUUUCCGUCGUGAACGAGGAAUACCUUGUAGGCGCAUGUCAUCAUCAUGCGCCGAAUACGUCCCUGCCCUUUGUACACACCGCCCGUCGCUCCUACCGAUUGAGUGAUCCGGUGAGGCUCUGGGACCUGGACGGAAAGAGCGUUUCGCUUGUUCUGUUUGGGAAACUUGGUCGAACCCUAUCAUUUAGAGGAAGGAGAAGUCGUAACA
rnacentral:rRNA from 1 species